rnacentral:rRNA from 1 species
GCUGGAAUUGCUAGUAAUGGCAGGUCAGCAUACUACCGUGAAUACGUUCCCGGGCCUUGUACACACCGCCCGUCACACCAUGAGAGUCGAUAACACCCGAAGCCUGUAGUCUAACCUUAGGGGGGACGCAGUCGAAGGUGGGAUUGAUAAUUAGGGUGAAGUCGUAACAAGGUAAC